rnacentral:rRNA from 1 species
UACAGAGGGGGCAAGCGUUAUUCGGAAUUAUUGGGCGUAAAGGGCGCGUAGGCGGCCUGGCAAGUGGAAGGUGAAAUCCCUCGGCUUAACCGAGGAACUGCCCUCCAAACUGCUUGGCUUGAGUCCGGGAGAGGUGAGUGGAAUUCCCAGUGUAGCGGUGAAAUGCGUAGAUAUUGGGAGGAACACCUGUGGCGAAGGCGGGUAGCUGGGCCGACACUGACGCUGAGGCGCGAAAGCCAGGGGAGCGAACGGG